UACGUAGAAGGCGAACGUUAUCCGGAUUUACUGGGCGUAAAGAGGGUGUAGACGGUUCUUUAAGUCAGUUGUGAAAUCUCCCGACUCAAUUGGGAGACUGCAAGUGAUACUGGAGAGCUUGAGGGCAUCAGAAGAAAGCGGAAUUCACGGUGUAGCGGUGAAAUGCGUAGAUAUCGUGAGGAACACCAGUGGCGAAGGCGGCUUUCUAGGAUGCUCCUGACGUUGAGGCCCGAAAGUGUGGGGAGCGAAACGG
rnacentral:rRNA from 1 species